GCAUCCGUAGCUCAGCUGGAUAGAGUACUCGGCUACGGACCGAGCGGUCGGAGGUUCGAAUCCUCCCGGAUGCACCA
rnacentral:tRNA from 2 species